CUCCUUCAGGAGAUAAAGCGAACUUCGAAUUUAAAUAAAUCAUAAGAAAAACGGCUCGGAAAGAUCGUUGGAAUUUACCAACGAGAUCGAAGGCGACGGGAACAUGACAUGUCGCGCUGUCUCGGCCAACUUCAUUAUGUCCAUCGCACGCGUAACCGUCGCCGUGUAGUGUAAUAAGUGUAAUUGAAGUUGAGAGCUUGUAACGGCUACUAACACGAUCGCGCAAGUUUUGUCGCGUUUCCGAGCUUGCUAUGCGGAAAUCCUAAACGAAUGAUCGUCUGCAUGGUUACUGAUUGUGAGCCACCUUUUGGAGGCUGAAAUCCUUGGGCUAAAAAAGAGUGCGAGAUUCGGACAUUCGCGUCGUGAUGAUUCAGAAAGAGGAGAGAGAUAGGAUGCAGA